rnacentral:rRNA from 1 species
UACGUAGGGGGCGAGCGUUGUCCGGAAUGACUGGGCGUAAAGGGCGUGUAGGCGGCGGCGUAAGUCCGGAGUGAAAGUCCACAUUUCAAGUGUGGAAUUGCUUUGGAUACUGCGAAGCUUGAGUACAGCAGAGGUAAGCGGAAUUCCCGGUGUAGCGGUGAAAUGCGUAGAGAUCGGGAGGAACACCAGUGGCGAAGGCGGCUUACUGGGCUGAUACUGACGCUGAGGCGCGAAAGCGUGGGGAG